rnacentral:tmRNA from 1 species
UGGAAACAAGUAAGUGCAGAAGCACAACCUGUUGCUGCCUAAGGUAUAGGCAAGCCGUUUCCCGGGUUCUCUCCUGCGGUUCCCGGGAGGCGUCGACCAGCAGGAUAGCGAGCCAGGUUAGCCCUGAACGUGGUGAGUGAAAUGCAUCGAGGGCUGGUUGGACGGUGCUUCUCCUCUUCGAGCGCCGCCCGGCGAGAACAAAGGAGAGGAUACGCAUGUAGAGGCUUCUUGCUGAAUGUCUCCGGACGCGGGUUCGAUUCCCGCCGCCUCCACCA